rnacentral:rRNA from 1 species
UACGUAGGGUGCGAGCGUUGUCCGGAAUUACUGGGCGUAAAGAGCUCGUAGGUGGUUUGUCGCGUUGUUCGUGAAAACUCACAGCUUAACUGUGGGCGUGCGGGCGAUACGGGCAGACUGGAGUACUGCAGGGGAGACUGGAAUUCCUGGUGUAGCGGUGGAAUGCGCAGAGUAUCAGGAGGAACACCGGUGGCGAAGGCGGGUCUCUGGGCCUUACCUGACGCUGAGGAGCGAAAGCGUGGGGAGCGAACAGG